AUACCUUUCUCGGCCUUUUGGCUAAGAUCAAGUGUAGUAUAUUAGACUGAUAUGUGGGUCAUGUGCCCACAACGAUAUUAAAUUUAUUUUUUAUGGGGCAAGGUCCACCACACUAGCUUGCUAGUGGGGCCUUCAUGUGUCGCCUGGGCUUUGCACUAUUGCCCAGGCAGACGCACCCCAA
rnacentral:snRNA from 1 species